CAGAAUACAUGAUGAUCUUUCCCCAACUUGAACUCUCUCACUGAUUACUUGAUGAUAAUCAAAGAUCUGAUGUUCUG
rnacentral:snoRNA from 1 species